GCCUCAGAAUAUUCACUCCUUCAAUACUCUGAAACACACACACACACACACACACACACACACACAACCCCACAGCUUUGGAAGAGCCCAACUAGCUAAUUGUGUGCCUGUUAGUUUACUCUUAGCUUGCUCUGCACUGAGCACAUGGACCCUGCCACCUCAGAGGUGAGCUAGGGAAGUGUGGGCAUGCCUGCUUCUAACACCUCUUUGUUCAAGAUGGAAUUCCACUGUGGUAAGCAGUGCUGCUGCUGCUGAGUGAACUGUUUCUCAAGUACCACCAUGCUUAAGUCUAAAGCAGCUUCCAGAUGCCAUGAAUAGCUGAACUGUACCAUUUACGCAUGUGUGCAGUCAUGCGUCCUGGCUCUGCCAUGUUACCUGUGUGACCUUGGGCAAGUCUCAGUUUCUUCAUCAGCAAAAAGAGACUAAUAAUAGUGUGUACAUCAUACUAGCUAAAAUUAUUAUUAUUCAGGAAGCACUUGUUUAGUGUCGAGUAUAUUCUAAGCAAUCCAAGAGAUAUAGAGGUGGAAAAGACACAGCCCUGCCUUCUAGAGACUUAUAUAAUUACAGCACAGCAUGGUCUUCUAAUAAAGAUAUUUAGGGAAUGAGGUAAAGCUUCAUCACAGAUAAAUUUUUAACUGUUUUGAAGGGUAAACAGGGUAUUGUCAAAUGGAACUGUACUAGAAAUAUACAUUCCAAACAGAGGGCAUAGUUUGUGAACAGGAUUAAAAUUGUAAAACAGGAGUCCUUGGCUGUUUUUAGAUAAGGUUUUAAACUUAGUUUUGCAACAUAUAAUCUUAUCACUAGUUGUUACCUAGUUUAUAGUAAUAAUAAUUAUUACUUAACUGGUUCAUCAAAGAGUUUCAACUCAAAAAAUGAGUUGGAACCCAAGCAGUGCCUCUUUACAGUGGUGCAUCUGCAGUUGCACAAUUCCUAUCCUGGAAUGACUACCAUGUGACAGGAACAGUAAAUUGUUGGGAAAAAAAACUUGUGAUUAAAACAACUGGAAGUGGAUGGGCUUCUUCCUUUCAGCAGUGCUUUAGUUAAGUUUUCAAAAUUAAGCAGGUUUAACCUUGGUUUCUUCUUUAGGUAGAACCCUAUAUCUUAAGAUUUUGCCUAUUCUUGGCAUAGCAAGAAACUGAUUUUUUUGGGAGAUGUGGUCAGAUGUCAAACUAAGAAAGUUCCUUUUACGCAUGGAAUUUCCAUUUGUGUACCAACUUAAAGCUGUGUUUUAUCUCCUACAAAGCCUUUUCCUGCAGCUUUGCUUUCACUUCCUCUCCCCACCCUUUUAGUCAUGUACUGAAGGGUUUGGCAGCUGGUUGAGGUAUCAGGUCAGCAUUUUUCACUGUGGAAGGAGGAAAGGUUGGGAACAAUGACGCAGGGAUACUUGUCACAUUUUCCUUUCCUUUUUUUCUUUAAGUGACCCACACAUUCCAUUACAAAAGCCUAAUGAGAAUCUUGGCUUAUAAAUUUUACUUCAGUAGCCCAGAGGUGGAAUAAUGUGCUGGAUGACAUAUAGGCGAUAGUUUCUCAGUGAAGAGUAUCCUUAAAAGCCCUUGUACAGCAGUGAGAAUUCUUGAUUCUACCUCUUUGGCGGUAUGACAGAUUUUGUGAAGAGAGAUAAUGGCCUCCGGGAGUCACAAGAUUGGGAAAGGAGCUGAGCAAUCCAUUCCCCAUCCUCGCUUAUUAACAGUUUCUCCACGGGUGCUUUAGGAAAUGCUUCGUAUGUGGUGCUUAAUAUACCACCUACCCACUCUCAUCUUCUUCACUGACUUGGAAAUUGUAUCUAGCUUGAGAAGUUCUAGCUACUUCUGUGGGCCUGUUUAUGCCAAGAUUGAAAUCCUAUGUGGAUUUGGUUGUUUUAUAUCAAAUCUGCUUGAAACUGUUCAACUAGAAGCAAACUAAUUAUUGUCAUUGUCUGUAUAGUGGUAGAGAAAGUAAAAAACAGUAAUAGAGUCUUAAAAUGCUGUCAUGACUUGACAUGAAAUAGACUACUCUUGAAUAGCUGCAUCUAUAGCCCAAAGGGCUUUGGUCUUGAAAAUUGUCAAAUAUGAAAUCGGAUUUUAGAUCAUGGAAUCCCAGCUGGUUCCUAGGGGCAGCUUCAGCCAUUAAACUCUCCCUUUGACCAUUUCAUUUGCAGGAUUUGCUUUGAGAUAAUAAGGAAUGUGAAGGCAAAUGAGUUUUUCUUAUCAAAGAUUCUAUUUUGAUGCUCCACAGCAGACCUGUUUUAGCAAAUAAAUAGAAGAGGCCAGAGUAGACUGUCAUAUAUCCUUGCUUAAGUGCCUCAGGAGACACAUUUUUUUAUUUCUCAAGCACAACUCUGGUGACUGGAGUUUCCCAUUUUGGAGGUGUCAGUGUUGAGCAGGCAAAGCUGCUAGUUAUUGAUUGCCGUUAAAGUCAUUGCACAAAGGCAUUAAAGCCCAAGGAUUGCUUUUUAGACAGAGCUACAACUGGUACAACUUCUCUUUCUAAGAGCCUGUUAUGAGUUAAAAUAGUUUUGACAGUGUCUUUAACUGCACAUCUUUGUCUCCAAACAUAAUUAGUAUUGAAAAAAUGCAGCCCUCAUGGUUGAGGCUUUGUGGCUUAGACAGCAGCUCCAUCUGGUGCUUGCUAACGGUGUUGGUUCAUCUCUUGGAUUUAUAACAGCUUGAACACACAUGUACACAGAACUUGUAAAAGAAUGUCAAAUCCAGAGUCUCAAUUUUAUUGAUGGUUUCCAUUGCACAUAGCUAGUCAUUGCACUGACAUAGGCUAAUUAUAUUCCUGGUGAAUCUCAUUUGUCUACCCUGUUGAUAAUGUGAUAGCUGUUAAUCAACUCAACAGCACCUCUUGACUGAAAUAACUUACUUGCACUUAAAGUGGGGAAUCAUUUUUACUAUUUAUCUACCAGUCUUGGGAAAACAAAAUAUACUGUACUACUUAUAAAGAGAAAAUUUAAUCCCUGUCUUAUCAUCGAUGGGUUUAACUUGGUUUAAGAUAUUAGGCCAUAAUGCCUUAUUCUUUUGUUGUUAGUACCACACAGGCUAAGUAGACAGGACAUUUUUUUAAAAAAAGAUUCUUGGCAACUGACGGGAACUGCCCCAAACUGUUGAUAGAAAUUACUUCUCAAUAAUAAGAUUAUACAUGAUUGUAUUUUCCUUAUGCUUUUCUGAUUUUUCACAGUGAACAUAUAUAAGAAAAGAAAAAAACAAUUUAAAAACAAAACAUAUUAUAGCCUUCAUGUAGCCUUGAGUUGCUUUUCUGACCCUUUCUCAUUCACUUGUGUGGCCUAUCCUGGGCUUUAUUUCCCCUCAUAUGUAUAACAGAAGGAUUGUACGAGGGGUCUGCUCGUUUUAACAUUCUAGGGUUUGUGAUUAUGUACUACUUUUUUCUCUUUUUCAGCCUCUCGUACUCCCCUGUUAGUCAACAUGAUCUAAUUUCUGCCAUCUUAAAACAAGGAAAUUCUUUCUGGGCCCCCUCCCCUAUACUCCUAGUUCUUUCUUUUCUUCCACCUCUAAACCUUUCCAGAAAGUUAUCUAAAAUUAAUCUCUUCAACUCACCAUAUCUGCUUUCCAUCUCCACCACUGCACCGAAAUAAUCUGUGUUAAGAGUGCCAGUGAGCUCACAUUGUCCAGUCCAGUUGGUGCAGUUAACAGGCCUCAUUCUCCUGUUACCUCUCAGCAGCAUUUGAAAUAGUGGUCUGCUUCCCACCUCGCUGCCCCCAGCAAUGAAAUCUCAUUUGACUUCAGUGUCAUCACACUUAUGGCCAUUAUUGUUUAGUUUUGUUUUGGGGUUAUCCUCUUUUCCCUAGUUCACCCACCAAGACCAUAUACUCAGCUUACUCUAUUUUCUCUGGGGGCUAGAUAUUCAUAUGGUGGUAGUUCCCAAAUAGGCGAGAACAGCAGAAUUCCCUUCUGUGUUCUAGACUUCCAAAUUCAGCUGCUUGCUCUAUAGUAUGCAGGCUAAGAAAACAUGGACUCAUAAUCUUCCUUCCAAAAGUUACACCUCCUCCAAUACUGUCUGUCUCAAAUGACCCCACAAAUUAUUUGAAUACAUAAACCUAAACCCUGAACAUCCAGAAUUCAGUUAUCCAUACAUAUACUUUUAUCUGCCUUUUCUGAAGCCACAUCCGAGUCAUUGGUCUUUCUGUGUGGACGUCUUUGAUCUUUAAGUUUGCACUUCUUCCACUUAGGCAAAGUGCUCUCUGAAUAUUGUUUACCUGUGACAUAGCUUUGUAUAUAUUAGUGAUAGAAAACAUUCUUUCCUUCCGUACAAACAUGCUGAAACUUCACAAAAGGCUGAGUUUCUGACAAAACCAAGGAUCCUAUAACUGUCAUUGUAUAUGAAUAAAGUCUAACUUUCUGGCUAUUAAAAUAUUUCUUACAGGUACAUGCCUACUACCAGCUUUAUCAUAACAUCCAAGUUAGAAAUGAAUGACUGUAAUGGUGUUCUCUGGGAAGGUCUGUGGCUGGGUGUCUAAGACAAGAGGGAGAGCCACUGGAGUUCCUGCCGUGACGCAGUGGUUAAUGAAUCCGACUAGGAACCAUGAGGUUGCGGGUUUGAUCCCUGGCCUUGCUAAGUGGGUUAAGGAUCCGGUGUUGCCAUGAGCUGUGGUGUAGGUCACAGACACGGCUCGGAUCCCGAGUUGCUGUGGCUGUGGCUGUGGCGUAGGCCAGCGGCUAUAGCUCCGAUUAAACCCCUAGCCUGGGAACCUCCAUAUGCUGCGGGAAGCGGCCCUAGAAAAGGCAAAAAGCCAAAAAAAAAGAGGGAGAGCCACAAGAUUUAUUUUUAAAGAUAAAUCUCAAAACCAGCACAUUCAGUUAGCCAAUAUUUAUCUGGCUCCUUAUGCUAGACAUCUAGGGAUGAAUAAGAUACAGCCCAGGCUUAAAGAAGUUUAGAAAAACUAGUGAGAAAACAGAUAAUUAAAAAUGAAAGUGCUUGUUCAUGAAGGUAUGUCUAAGUGGCUUCGAUAGUACCAAGGAAUGAAAUGAAAUGAGUAGCCCAGCGGGAUUUAGAGUGUUAUAAGACUAGUUGAUUUUUAAGACAUAAGGCUGGAAGGGAGUCAAGGGAUAUAUCAUGAAAACCUAAGGGGCUUGUAUUCUAUCCUAUAAUUCAGAGGUUCUAACACCUCAGCGUACAUAGAAUUACCUGAAGAAUUUGUUUAAAAAUCAGAUUCCUGGAGUUCCUGUUGUGGCUCGGCAGUAAUGAACCUGACUAGUUUCCAUGAGGAUUCGGGUUCGAUCCCUGGGCUCACUCAGUGGGUUAAGGACCUGGUGUUGCCAUGAGCUGUGGUGUAGGUCACAAAUGCAGCUUGGAUCUAGCAUUGCUCUGGCUCUGGCGUAAGGUGGCAGCUACAGCUCUGAUUUGACCCCUAGCCUGGGAACUUCCAUGUGCAGUGGGUAUGGCCUUAAAAAGACAAAAAAAAAAAAAAAA
ensembl:lncRNA